AGGCUUACAAAGGAAUGCAAGCCGUGAAUACGGGGUACACCACGGCAUCAUCACCACGUGCACCAACAACAACAACGCUUAGAAAGGCUUCAACGAUAGCUGAAUUUAAACUACUGGAAGGUUUUUCCCCACCAGAUAUCCACAGAUUUUCUCUCCUUAUAUCACAGCGUAUGAGAGGAAAGGAGGGAAAAUGCAGGAAGGGAUUUCAUACGUUAUUCUGGCGAUAACCAGAUAUACCUGGUUUUACUGGACAAAUAGGCCUAGGAUAAAUAGGAUCCAGCAGAAAAUGAGGUACAGGAAAUCCACCAGGGACCCAAGCGGCCACCAGGAAACAUCGAUGCAUCAGCACAAGAAUUAACCUUAUGUAGACCAUGUCUUCCACCCCACAUCAGGGCUCAAAUUACGACUGACUGUUGCCCAAUGCAUGCCGAAUCACAAUUCUAAUAGGGCUACGCUAGAGUAUAAUACAGUAUAUAAAUCGCCACCCAUGUGGCCUGGUCAACACGGAUUGGGGCAGGUAUUCAUCAGGAGAUGAUGGCGGGUCAGGUGGAUAGGAGAAUGUUGCUUCGAAGGCGUCCUCGUGAGGCUAUCCUACGGUGAGAUAGGUCUGACGUCCAUCGCGGUUCACCGGCCAAGUCUGUUUCCAAUUUGAGAGAGCCUACAACACGCAGGAUCACCACAGGAAGGUAGAAGGUGUGGCAGUGUACUUCGGUCGACGAUGCGGAUACGAUGGCCUUUACGACUGGAAAGUUCCCCCGAUGCAGAGCAAGAAUUAACCUGGCGUCGACCAAGACUUCAAGAUUUGCUGGUGGUCAACGAUCUGUGAGCACCUCAUGCAUCACGGGCCAAAAACUUGGAGUGGAACAGGCUUACGUUCGAGUAGGUCAGCGAGGAAAAGAACAGGUUUUCAUUAGGAGAUGGUGGCGGGUCAGGUGGAUAGGAGAAUAUUGCUUGGAUUGGAAGGCAUCUGCAUGGGGUUAUCUUCCGGUGAGAUGAGGUCUGAUGCCGCUCUGCUGAUCAUUCAAUUCGAUUUGCCGUUUGAAUGCGAGGACCCAGUUUUACUAUGAGAAGGAUCGAGGAGGAUGUGGAUAACGGACUCCGGUCGAUGGCCAUGCCGAUCCCCAUGGUUGGAAGGUUCACCCGAUGCAGUCUCGUCAUGGUGAGGGGUGAUCAAAGAUCCAGUUGGUCUAUGCCCCCCCCCCCCUUGAUCCGCGCCUGGUUAUGACCAAUAUGACCAACAUCAUCUUGAACUAGGCCGACCAAGACCUUCCUCGCAUAAACGACAACGCUAAUUACCACUUCCCAUGAUCUGUUUUGGGUUUUCAUGGCGUUAUUCAGAUAAAAAUAACGUAUACUGGGCCCCGUCUUACAAAGAGUUACGAUCAAUCGUAACUCUAUGGAAAUCCAUCAAUGUCGUAUUUUUUUCUACAGGAAAUUUGCAAAAUGUCCUUUGUAAACACAGGAGAACACACCAAAUUGUCAAUAAAUCAAUGAAUUUAUGGAUAUACAUUCAUAUCUAGAUUUUUUUUUUUGAACAGACAUGCCUUUCAUAAUGUUGAUUUUGCUGGCUUUCCACAGUUUCGAUUGAGAGGAUCAAUCGCAACUCUUCGUAAGACGGGACCCUGGUGAAAAACUAUAGGUAACACAACCUUUGCCGACUACCUUGAGUAGGGAAUGUUUGUAUUUUACACAUUUACUGUAUGUGAAUUCUCAACUGGUUUCUGUUUAAUUUGCGGGGUGUUCCCAUGCAUGCAUGCUGUGACAUAAAGUCCCUGAAUUUCUCAAGGAAGAGGCUGUAUAAUGUCAUCAUGUCAAACAUAAUAAUAAUGAUUGUUUAAGGACGUUCCACAGUUAAAGUGAAAUCCCUGUCAUUUUCACCAAACUUUGCACAUAGAUACUUUAGAACCUUAAUAUUCGAAAUAUGCAAAAAUUAACAUAGGUCCGUGUGCUUGAUUUUUUGCUAAAGAGCUUCAAAGUUCACCCAAAUUGAUGUUCUUAAGAAUUGCGCAUUCCAAAGAAUUUGGCAUUUUUAGACCACCCAAGAUUACUACAAUGAGUUUAAACCUCUAUUACUCAGUCAAAACGCAUGAAAAAGUCAUCAAAUUUCGCAAAAGAGUUAAUAAUUGUAUCGUUAGAAUGGAGAAUCUAUUUAAAGUGCUAAUUGUUUGCAAUUUUAAGUAUAUCAGCACUGUCAGUUCUUAAAAAAGGCGUAAACGAUAACAAAAUCCCAAUCUAAAAAAUGUAAAAUUUCAGUAACAAACUACAAAAGUAAAAUAAAUGCUGCACUUUAUUCAAAAUCCAUGUCAUUUUCACCAAAAUUUGCAGAGUUGUAGAGGAAGGUAUAUAUCUAAGAGGUACAAACAUUAAAAAAUAGGGGUUCAUGUGCUUGUUUUUAAACUAUCAGCAUUUUUAUUAGAGCAAAUGUGCUUUUUAAAACACAAAAAAAUCGCCGAAUGCUUUGUAUCUAUGUGAAUAAAAAAUCAAAACCACUCUACCAUUUAUUCAAACUUGGGGUAAUAUUCGUGAUUCUUGGCAGCAAUGCUGAGUAAAGUAUUUUGAAAUUGUAGAAUUUUUUUUUGAAUGGUCCAUGGAAUAAUUCCAUUUUUUAGCUUCAUGAAAUAACGCAUCGGAUCUGCAGUUAAAGUGCAGAAGAUGAAAAAUAUCAGCUCAUACCCGCAGCUAAUUGAUCACCUGUUCAUCUAUUGUGACGUCAGCGCAGAGUGUAAACUAUGUGCAGAUCAUAAUGCGCACAAACAUAACUGUGGAACGUCCUUAAUGCUUCAUUAGGAUUUUAGCAGACAUGCGGUCCAUGGCGAUGAAAAAUGAAUUGAAUAACUGAUUGUUGAAGAAAUAUGCCUUUGGAGGCUUUUAAAAUGACAUCGUCUUCUAAAACUCCAACGCUUUGCUUCCUUGCACUGUUCUCUCGAAAUCUCAUUAUUUCACACUCCUAUUUAUUCCUUAUAAAACUGCCUUUUUAUAGGCCUAUUCGGGGUUCAGUAUAGCAGCAUAAAUCCGAGGGCAGCAUGCAGUUUGAGUGGGCAGAAUUUUUUUUUGAUGAAGAUGAAUAUGGGGCCUGAUAUUUAUAAUACAAAAGCUAAAUGCACUUGGCCAAAAAUGAAGCUUGGGGUUUGAAUUCCAUGAAUUCCACAUCUUGUUUUUUUUUUGCUCAGAUGCCUCGCUCACUCAUCUAUUAAAUGUGUUUUUUUUUUGUUAAGAUUAUCCUUGAGAAUCUCAUAAUAUUUUUACAAAACUUGUUGGUUAAAAGGUUCAACAUUAAUUCGGUUACUUACGAAAGGAAUAUGCUUUGAAUAUUUGUCAUUUCUUAAACGAAACAGCAUAGCCGGUGGAAGUGGGGAGGGGGGGGGGGGCAGGAUCAUUUCAAAACAGGUAUAAAAGUGUGGGGAGAAACACGCAUAUUCUGUGGAAAGUUCUGAUCACAUACGUGAUCGUAGAACUUCCCCCUCCUCCAAAAAAUGUGAAAGCUCGCAUUUGUCCGUUCAAAAUUUAUCUGAAUUAAAAAUAAACGUUACGCGCCUUUUCAUUUUAUAUGUGGCCUUAGCGGCCGCCAAAAUCUUAAUGCGAAGGAACAAGCACCCGUUUUUUGUAAAUAGUAUAUAAAUAUUUAAAAUGCAAAAGAAUAUUACAUUGUAAAGUUUGCAUGAAAGUGGCUCCAAUGGUGACAUGUGUCUAAUAAAUUCAUAGCCAUUGUGCUCUAUGCCCAUAAAACUAACAAAACAUAAACUGAAAUUGAAUGGUAAAGAUGAUCAAAAUAAAAUGUUUUUCGUAUUUUCAUAAUUAAAAAACAAUGAUUUGAAAGUAGAAUCAUAAAAAAUGAGAAAUAAAAUUAUGUCCCUUCUUCUGUCGGCUAUGCUGCGUACUUAUGUUUCCUUUAUGGGUUGUUUUACAAUCAGGGAAUAUCAAUUUUAAAUGCUCUCUGUGCAUCAUAAAAAGUAAUGUUAUUGUAAUCUCAAUUCUACGAUGGCAAGUUAUAUGACACUUUGAUAGCAGACUGCGAAGAAGAAAAAUAUUGGACUACACAUUCAUUAUUAAAAAUUUACCAUAAUUUACUUUCCAUUUUUUUUUUAAUUUCGAGCCCGCGCAUGUAUUAUGCAGCCUUGUGCAUCGUCUCACCAAUUAUAAUUGAUUAUUGAAAUUGUUUAAAUUUCUAAAUUCUUAAAAGCUUCAGACAGUUUUUAUUUUAGGGAAAAAUUACUUGAUUGAUAAUGUCUUUGUCUAUACUUGUGUAGUAAUAUGCAAAACUCUUAUAGACGGUUCACUUUGCUCACUUCCGCUUAUUUUUUUUUCAGACGUUUCUCGUUCCACUGUCCAAAAUUACCCCCUGCGAAAAUUGAACACAAACAAGAAAAGUUUGAAAAGAAACUCAAAGCUACAUUUUUGUCAAAUUAGACAGCUGAUCGAGUUUACCCUGAUUGUAUAACAGCCGAUAAUCAUGAUAAAAGCCGUCAGAACAAUACUUCGCUGUUGAAUGCUCCAUGUGAAAUGUCAAACGUCGUCUGUUGAUCAAAUGAUGGUUUAUAACAUAGUGGUGUGGAUCCUUGUUAAAUAUUGGCGGCGGAAGCCAACAAAUUUAGGGGGGGGGGUCCACCUGAAAUUUUGGGAUGAACACAGGUAAAAAUUGGACAAGCAGAAAUUUUAAGGUGGGGGGGGGUCCGCCCCCACCUCAAAUUGAGGGGGGGGGACAGGACCCCCCCCCCCGCUUCCGCCUAUGUUGUAAAACUCCUAAUCUCAAAGCAAUGACCUGUCUGUAUAGAACUGGUCAUAAGAACAAGUCAUCAGCAAAUGUUCAUGUUUGCUAAAACAAAUGAUUGGUCACGUUAUCGAUUUCAUCCAAUCAUUUGUUUGGGAUCCAUAUCACCAUUUUAUAAACAUAAGUAAAUGAUUGUUACACCCUU